UGGGGAAUAUUGCGCAAUGGGCGAAAGCCUGACGCAGCGACGCCGCGUGAGGGAUGAAGGUUUUCGGAUCGUAAACCUCUGUCAGAAGGGAAGAAGUUGCAUGGGGCCAAUCACCUGUGCAUUGACGGUACCUUCAAAGGAAGCACCGGCUAACUCCGUGCCAGCAGCCGCGGUAAUACGGAGGGUGCAGCGUUAAUCGGAAUUACUGGGCGUAAAGCGCACGUAGGCUGUAUGUCAAGUCAAGGGUGAAAUCCCACGGCUCAACCGUGGAACUGCCUUUGAAACUGGCAAACUGGAGUAUGUGAGAGGGCGGCGGAAUUCCUGGUGUAGGAGUGAAAUCCGUAGAUAUCAGGAGGAACAUCAGUGGCGAAGGCGGCCGCCUGGCACAAAACUGACGCUGAGGUGCGAAAGCGUGGGGUAGCAAACAGGAUUAGAUACC
rnacentral:rRNA from 1 species